UCCAGCCAGAAUCCUCUUCUCUCUGCACUCAGUUCCUGGGUGCUCCUGCCCCACUCAGAGCUGCUUGUCAGCCACCAGUGCUGGAGCCUCCUCAGCAGGGCAUCAUUUCCCUUGUCAGGGGGUGUUUUGUUCCUUCCUUGGGAAGAGGCCAUAGCACAGCAAGGGUUAAACUGCAGUCUCUCUUCUCACUCAGUUGGACUGGGAGCAAUGCACACCAUCAAAAUUGUUAUCUCAGCAGUCCAAUACCUGAGUCGGGCUCCUGGUUUUUUUUUCAAGUGGUGCCUUUCUGACAUUGUGACAAGUAAUCUGUGGAAAAUGUGGAACUGAUAAAAGAAAAAGAAAUUGUUUACAGUGAAAGCAGUGUGUGUUCACCUUCCAAAUAUAACCAACCAGGUAUUGGAGGAGGCUCUGGAGGACAUAUGUACACAGCAUUCUUCAGGAACUUGUGGUCUUUUUCCUCAUGUGCCUUUAAUUUUGAUAUCUGAAGUAAUGAGCAGCUUGGAGUUCAAACAGCCAAUUUCAUUUGCUCUCCCUGCCUACACUGUUUGCACAAAAAUUCUUUCUUUUUUUCCCACACUUGUGAUAACCUCAACCCUGCAUGAGCAUAGGGAACUGUGAA